rnacentral:rRNA from 1 species
CAGUAGCCGCGGGAACACGGAGGGGGCUAGCGUUGUUCGGAAUUACUGGGCGUAAAGCGCACGUAGGCGGCUUGGUAAGUUAGAGGUGAAAGCCCGGAGCUCAACUCCGGAAUUGCCUUUAAGACUGCCGAGCUAGCAGGUGAGAGAGGUAAGUGGAAUUCCGAGUGUAGAGGUGAAAUUCGUAGAUAUUCGGAAGAACACCAGUGGCGAAGGCGGCUUACUGGCUCAUACUGGACGCUGAGGUGCGAAAGCUAGGGGAGCAAACAGGAUUAGAUACCCCUGUGUCCCUGUCUCUUAUACA